GAUGAACGCUGGCGGCGUGCUUAACACAUGCAAGUCGAACGAAGAAAACUUGAUUGAGAGCUUCGGCAGGAUUUCAUUUUUUCUUAGUGGCGGACGGGUGAGUAACGUGUGGGCAACCUGCCCUGUACUGUGGAAUAAUCACUGGAAACGGUGACUAAUACCGCAUGUCAUCACCGGAGGGCAUCCUCUGGUGAAAAAAGGAGCAAUUCGGUACAGGAUGGGCCCGCAUCUGAUUAGCUAGUUGGUGAGAUAACAGCCCACCAAGGCGACGAUCAGUAGCCGACCUGAGAGGGUGAUCGGCCACAUUGGGACUGAGACACGGCCCAA
rnacentral:rRNA from 1 species